CGAACAUUUGGACCGUCGGUCUACCGAGCAAUAUCGCCCGCUCGAGGGAAGAUCUUUCCCUUCGUCGU
rnacentral:pre_miRNA from 1 species